CCACCUUUGAUCACUCUCAGUUCCUUCUUACAGGACAGAUCCCAACAUAAAGGGGAAGAAGAAUGGAAUGGAUAUGUGCAACACAUCUCAAACAACAGUUACAGAACAGGUUAAACAUAUCCAAAACAUGUUGGAUAGAGGCCAGGACUGGUGAAACACCUCUCUGCUUUCACCUUAUGAAGAAUAGUGUUCACUUCAUCAGGUUCAGCCCCGUACCUUCUCUCAGAUGCUUUCCUCCUCAAUGAGAAUAUGAAUCUGAUGUACACCUUCUCAUCUUUUCCGUUAAUAUUGAAGGUCAUAAGGAAUUUCAGCCAGGAUAAUUCUGCUCACUUUUGCUUGGCUGAGUUACACGGACUUGCUCCUUCUUUCAAAGAGAAACUUCAAAGUACUGCCUCUGUCAUCAGACCUACUCUGACAGCAGCAUCGGAGGGUGUAUGAGCCAGAUCCAUCUUUGCUACAUCUAGCAGCAAUAGAUCCUUGACAGAAUUAGAGAAAUCUUUCUCUGAAGAUGUACAACAUGUAUUACUAAAUGUGAAAAGACUGACUACUAGAAAAUGUUAUGAGUUGAAAUGGAAAAGAUUUUUCUAUGGGAUGCUAAUAAGGAUAUUGAUCUUGUGCCAGCUCCUAUACAAUUCAUUUUAGAGUACUUGUUGCUUCUGAAGGACCAAGAUUUUUAUAUUAAGUCACUCAGGUACAUUUAGCCACAAUUGCACCUGUUGAUGGUAAAUCAGUAUUCUCUCAUCUGAUUGUUAAGAGAUUUAUGAAAGGUUUACUAAAUCUGUAUUCUCCAAAAACAAAGC